rnacentral:rRNA from 1 species
GACGUAGGGCGCGAGCGUUUGUCCGGAUUUAUUGGGCGUAAAGAGCUCGUAGGCGGCUUGUCGCGUCGACUGUGAAAACCCGCGGCUCAACCGUGUGGCUUGCAGUUGAUACGGGCAGGCUAGAGUUCGGUAGGGGAGACUGGAAUUCCUGGUGUAGCGGUGAAAUGCGCAGAUAUCAGGAGGGAACACCGGUGGCGAAGGCGGGUCUCUGGGCAGUAACUGACGCUGAGGAGCGAAAGCGUGGGGAGCGAACAGGA